rnacentral:rRNA from 1 species
GACGAACGCUGGCGGCGUGCUUAACACAUGCAAGUCGAACGGAAAGGCCCUGCUUGCAGGGUACUCGAGUGGCGAACGGGUGAGUAACACGUGGGUGAUCUGCCCUGCACUUCGGGAUAAGCUUGGGAAACUGGGUCUACUACCGGAUAGGAACCAUCUUUCGUGUGGUGGUUGGAAAGUUUUUUCGGUGUAGGAUGAGCUCGCGGCCUAUCAGCUUGUUGGUGGGGUAAUGGCCUACCAAGGCGGCGACGGGUAGCCGGCCUGAGAGGGUGUACGGCCACAUUGGGACUGAGAUACGGCCCAGACUCCGACGGGAGGCAGCAGUGGGGAAUAUUGCACAAUGGGCGCAAGCCUGAUGCAGCGACGCCGCGUGGGGGAUGAAGGCCUUCGGGUUGUAAACUCCUUUCGCUAGGGACGAAGCUUUGGUGUGACGGUACCUAGAUAAGAAGCACCGGCUAACUACGUG